CUGCAGUUCAGCUACUUGCAGCAAUGAUGCGACAGAAUGUGCUUGUAUAUCUGCUUUUUGUCUACGGAGUCCUUCCAGCAGCUCUAACAGCAGUGAUACAAACACAGCAGACUGUGCUGGCAGCUGUGGGAGAAGAUGCUGAACUGAGCUGUCAGCUCUUGGAGACUAAAGACAUCCUUCAGGUUGCAUGGCAGAAAAGUUCAAAUGAUGUGGAGACAAAUGUUGCCACCUACAACAAGUACUUUGGUCAGAGAGUGAAUGACGGCUUCACAGAUAAAGUUAAGUUUAAAUAUAUUGGACUACAGAACUCAUCGUAGUCAUCAGGAAUGUGACAUAGGAAGAUGAAGCCUUCUAUCACUGCCUGUUUAACACUUAUCCUGAAGGCUCCUUCACAGGUAAACCCUGCCACCAAGUUUAUGGUGAGAACUUUUACCUUCUUUAACCAACAACAAGUGCCUCAAGGAGGACAUAAAUGUGUAGGCAGCUUGUGUGUUUGUAAGAGCAUGUUGAUAAUAUUUCCUGAUCCUUCACAGAGCUGCAUGAACCUGUUGUUGAUGUCAGAGAGUCAAACUCUACUGAAGAGUAGGUUGUUUCCUGUUCAGCCACUGGUCGACCUGCUCCCACUGUAACACUCAGUGUCUCACAACAAGACCUCAACUUCUCACAGUACAACACUGUCAGUGUGUCCAACACCAACGCUACAUUCACUGUCACCACUACAGCUCUGCUCUCAGGUUCACGUAACAACAGCACGCAGGUGGAAUGUGCAGCACGAGUGCUCUCUGCUCCUCACAGAGAGAAACGAUGGUGAUGAUUCUUGAGGUCCAACAGGUGCAUGGUGGGAAUGACGAUAAUGAUGAUGAUUUUACUUGGAUCAUUGUGUUGGGUGCAGUGAUCUGCGUUUGUGUUGUUGCUGUUGUCACUAUUCUUACAAACAGGAAAAAGCUGCUCUAAAAUAUAUGAUGUGAUUCAAUCCGCAAUCAAAAACACAUAUGGCUAAGAUACCUUUGUCAUAUUGUUAUUAGAAACCCUGAUGCUCUCAAGUUUUUUUACUAUAUCUGAAACCUAUUGGCUGUCUUCUGUAUUUUUCUAGCAGACA